GCCGCCGGGCUCCUGACCACAAGGGGGCGCAUCUCCUCCACUGUCUCCCGCAGCCUGAGAACUGCGCUGCUAUUGUGGACGGAGGAGCAGUCACUGACACGGAAGCUGCCUCCUGUAGGGAGAGAUGGCACUGGCUGCAGCUAGGGGGAGCUCCAGAGCACAGCUCCUCUUCUAGCCAGCCGAGGGAAGCUCUCUGCUCCGUCAGCCUGAUGAUGAAAGCCAAAGACAGAUGAAUCCCACCCUGCCCGUUUUUGUGCGCCCUACCAACCCGCCGUUUUCUGCCUGCCGUACCCCGCCACGCCGCCAGACCCAGCCGUGCGCCGCCGGACCCGACACCAAUUACACCUGGCAUUCCCAGCACCCCGGACCUGAGUCCAUCUCCUACUCUACCCACUCCCUGCGAAAGAAACAACGGCCAAAAAAAAGCACCCAGGAGAAGGAACCCACUACUAAAUUGAGCAUAGAGGCUUGGACGCAGACCAAAAAAUGCAAUUUGAAGGAUUGACGUCCAUAUCUUCAAAGCAUGCAGUGGUCUCCUGACCUCUGAGACAAGCAUAACAUCAGGCCCACUGUUCUUCUCCCAGCUCAACUCUCCUCCCCACCAAACACCUACUAUUCCACCCAGACAUACUUUGCACCAAAGCCCGACUAGAUCCCCCUCCUACCAACCAGCUCCCACACACCCCUCCUACCAACCAGCUCCCCCACCCACCUCCUUCUGACCAGCCUCCUACAACCAACAUGCUCCCUCACCAACCUCUUACCAACCAGUUCCCACACCCCCUUCCUACCAACCUGCUCCAAAACCCACCUCCUCCUGAUAACAUACUCCCCCACCAACCGCCUACCAACCAGCUCCCACACCCCCCUCCUACUAACCUGCUCCCUCACCUCCUCCUACCAAACAGCUGCCACACACCCCUCCUACCAACCUGCUCAAACACACACUUCCUCCUACCAACCUGCUGUUAUGAUCUGUUUUUAUUGGGUCAGCUUGCCAUGUUUUCCUGCAUUCCCAAUUCAUUUCAUAUUCCUGCAUGUUCCUGUGUGUUCAGCUUCAGCUGCAGUAUAAUGAGUUUUGUGUUUCCUGUCCCUCAUUCCAUGCUGGUCAUAGAUCCUGGUUGUUGCAGUAGCCUUUGUCUCUAGGUCCCAGUUCAAGUCGAGGAAAUCUUUCUCUGGUUUUCUGUUUCUGUCCCCUGCAGUAUACCUGUAUUCAGUUCUGUGUCAGUUAUGCAAUUAUCUGCAUCCUACUCAGUAUACCUGUGUCUAGCUCUGUGCCAGUUAUAUAGUUACCAGCAUCCAACUCUGUAUUCCUGUGUCCAGCUCAGUGUCAGUACAUAAUCUUUAGCAUUUUACUCUGUGUUCCAGUCUCCGUCUGCAGAAUUCUCACCUGCCUGUCAGCACUUAUCUACAGUGUAAGCUCUGGUGUCAUGCCUCAGCUCUGUACCAGCCUUCCAUAUAAUAACCUUGCUGUAUUAUAUACCCUUAGUCUUUUCUUUAGUAUUAGCGAAGUACUAGCUGUUAGUUAUAGUACUGUUCCUCCCAGCCUGGAGGUUAUCCCCAGUUAGGGGUAUAAUUUGUGUUUACUCUCCUCAGUAUUAACCUCUUCCUGGCCCGGCAGUCCCUUUUCCCCUUAGUACUUUAGUCCUAGUUACUUUGCCAUUGUUUGCCUUCCCUUCUCUCCGUUCAUCCCUGCUGCCCACUUAGUUAUCUUAGGGUUCAGUUGUUGCCGGCUUUGAUUCAGGUCACCUAGGGGUUGAGCUCAUACUACAGCCAGUGGCGUAAAUCCUGGUGGGCUUCCCAGUACCGGUAGAUGCAUAGAGUCUUAUGGGAAAAGCGGCUUUUAUAGGCAAGGAGACCUGCUGUGUGUGUUCUAUGAGUCUCAACCUUGGGUUAACAGGGGUCACUGCCUGAAGACCUGCAAGCAACUCUGAAUCCCAAAGGAAGAUCUCCAUUCCACCGUAACACCUGCCUUAACACCCACCUCCUCCAACCAACUUGCUCGACCACCCUGUAGUUUCAGCUUUACUGGAAGCUCAGUAGUACAGUUCGGACUUGUUUACAUUGUGAUGUGUCCCCCCAGUAAUCUACAAGUAUCCUUACAUCUUGAUAAGUAUCGUGCUGUCUGCUGCAUUGUGCUUUUGUGGCACAGAUUCAGGCAGAUUAAUGAAACACAUAUGGCCGGGCCAUUGAAUUUGCCCUUGCAGCAUGUGUUUUGUUCUCCAAUCUGAAACUGUGACAAAACCACCAAGCAAUUUACAGCACCAUAUUUAUACAUAGUUAUCAGGGAUUGUGAUACUUUCACAUCAUUUUUGCAUACUAUACUUUCUUGCAUACCAAAAAAGUGUCAUGUGAGCAAAGUUUUACAUAUUUUAUAUAUGUUGUGCAUUAUAUAUACAUAUAUAUAUAUAUAUAUAUAUUCUAUUUUUUAUAAAACUCUGUAUUUAAGCAGCCGUGCUGGCAUCAAAGAAAAGAAGAACUAUUUUUUUUAA